rnacentral:rRNA from 1 species
AUGGCGUCCGACUCCGAGUCCAGCGACGUCGCUCCGGACGACCAGCACGAGCACCUGCGCCCCGAGGGCACCGAGCCGCUGGCGCGCAUCACGGUGGACUACACCCCGGACGCCUGCCGCCACGCGCCGGCGUCGGGCGAGAUCCACGUCACGUACGACCACCGCGGCGGGGCGCGCUGGCGGUUCCGCGCCCGCUUCCUCCCGGGCGGCGCCGUGGCCGCAGCGGUCCGCGCCCCGGCCGGGGACACCGCGGGGCUCAACUACAACCUCUACCUCUCGUCCCUCGAGGGCUCCGGCGACAUGGACGAGAUCGACUUCGAGUUCCUCGGCAACAACAAGCGCGCCGUGCAGACCAACUUCUUCGUCGCCGGAUGCGGCGGCAGGGAGGCCGUCCACGAGCUCCCCUUCGACUGCUCCGACGGGUUCCACCACUACGCCGUCGCCUGGGGCGCCGAGGCCAUCAAGUGGCGCGUCGACGGGGAGGUGAUCCGGAGGGAGGAGCGGCGCGACGGGGAGCCCUGGCCGGAGAAGCCCAUGUACCUGUACGCCUCCUUGUGGGACGCGAGCGACGUCGACGAGGGGAGGUGGACCGGCACGUACCACGGCACUAGUAGAAAAAGGGUCAAACGUGAAGCACAUUAG